UCGUCAGUGAGGUUAAUCCUUACCUGUUCCUCUCCGGGAGAAACAGCACAUGAUGAAUGGAGGAGACUGAGUCGCUGAUUACUCUGUACUCCGGUCCUGUCUGGUGCGACAACACUUACCAGGCAGGAUCAUUCUGAU
rnacentral:snoRNA from 12 species